rnacentral:sRNA from 2 species
UGUGCCAACGGACAGGCACAGGCAGUCAAGGAAGACAGUCAAGGACAUCGCAAGAAGCGAUUCAUCAGGAUGAUGAAAAGGAUUACAGGGAUUAGGGAAGAAAUGUGGGCGGGUCAUACCGCCCCUUUUUUU